GUACACUCCUACGGGAGGCAGCAGUGGGGAAUUUUGGACAAUGGGCGAAAGCCUGAUCCAGCAAUGCCGCGUGAGUGAAGAAGGCCUUCGGGUUGUAAAGCUCUUUUGUCAGGGAAGAAACGGUGAGAGCUAAUAUCUCUUGCUAAUGACGGUACCUGAAGAAUAAGCACCGGCCAACUACGUGCCAGCAGCCGCGGUAAUACGUAGGGUGCAAGCGUUAAUCGGAAUUACUGGGCGUAAAGCGUGCGCAGGCGGUUUUGUAAGUCUGAUGUGAAAUCCCCGGGCUCAACCUGGGAAUUGCAUUGGAGACUGCAAGGCUAGAAUCUGGCAGAGGGGGGUAGAAUUCCACGUGUAGCAGUGAAAUGCGUAGAUAUGUGGAGGAACACCGAUGGCGAAGGCAGCCCCCUGGGUCAAGAUUGACGCUCAUGCACGAAAGCGUGGGGAGCAAACAGGAUUAGAUACCCGUGUAGUCCCAUG
rnacentral:rRNA from 1 species